AACCCGCUGUGUCGGGCAGACACUUGGACCCCAGCUAACUGAAAUAAUAAUAAACCUCUUGCUUGUUCAUCAAUCUGCUGUGGCCUUCGUCUCCUCACUGGGGGGGAAGCGCAGACCGGAAUAAGGCCAUUGGGUCUUACAUUUGGGGGCUCGUCCAGGAUCGCGUGCACCCCCUGGAGGAACGACAAGCCAAGGAUCGGAGGCUUGCCCUGGCCAGGUCCUGUUUACCAUGGAAGAAAAAGACCGGAUCUUCCUAGAGGCCUGGAAGAAUGUACUGGGGGCUGAUCGGCGACUCACUCAGAACCCAGCCAUUAUUGAGGAGGGGUUCCCCCUAACCAGACCUGAUUGGGACUUCAACACCCAGGAAGGAAGCCCAGCACAAAUGAAUACCAUCCAGUCCAAGAUCUGCGAGAAGUUAACAAGCAGGUAAUGGACAUUCAUCCCACAGUUCCUAAUCCUUAUAAUCUUUUAAGUUCCUUGCCACCUCUCCGAGGCUGGUAUACCAUUUUAGAUUUAAAAGAUGCCUUCUUCUGCCUCCAACUUGCGCCAAAGAGUCAAGAGCUUUUCACCUUUGAAUGGAGAGACCCAGACGGAGUAAUGACGGGGCAACUCAGGUGGACCUGACUCCCGCAAGGAUUCAAAAAUUCCCCCACCCUCUUUGAUGAAGCUCUCAACCAAGACCUGGCGCUAUAUCAAGAAGCUAACCCCCAGGUAACUUUGUUGCAAUAUGUUGAUGGUCUUCUGCUUGCAGCUGAAAUGAGAGAAGAUUGCCUGAAAGGGAUGGAGAAACUUCUGGCAGAAUUAGGAACUCUAGGAUAUCGGGCAUCAGCCAAGAAGGCACAAAUCUGCAAACGACAGCUCUAGGACUCCCUGAUGUGACAAAACCCUUCCACCAGUUCGUGGCAGAGAACAGGGGGACAGCCAAAGGAGUGCUGACUCAGAAGCUCAGACUGUGGAAACGGCCCAUAGCAUACCUGUCUAAAAAACUAGAUCCAGUAGCCGCCGGCUGGCCUGCGUGCUUGAAAAUAAUUGUGGCAGCAGCAGUACUAGUCAAAGAUGCGGACAAAUUGACCCUAGGGCAAAAUCUAACCGUGACUGCUCCGCACACGCUAGAAAGCAUAAUCUGGUAGCCCCUGCAUCGGUGGCUUACAAAUGCUCGGAUAACUCACUACCAAGCCCUGUUGCUCAACCCUGACUGGGUGACAUUCUCUCCGCCGAUCAGUCUCAAUCCGGCCACUUUGCUGCCAGACCCCAAACUUGAACCCCCGGUGCAUGACUGUCAGCAAGUAUUAGCUGAAGCCCAUGGGUGGCGUAAAGACUUGACUGACCUGUCUUUACCAGAUGCUGAAGCCACCUGGUUCACAGAUGGAAGCAGCUACCUAGACCAAGGAAAGCAUAAGGCAGGAGCGGCUGUAGUAGAUGGAAAAAAAAUAGUGUGGGCUCAGCCCCUCCCCGAGGGAACCUCGGCACAGAAAGCUGAGCUCAUUGCUCUUAUGAGAGCACUGGAACUGGGGUCUGGAAAGAAAAUUAACAUCUAUACAGAUAGUAGAUACGCCUUUGCGACGGCACAUGUGCAUGGAGCCAUUUACCAACACAGAGGAGUCCUCACCUCCGAAGGAAGAGAAAUAAAAAACUAGCCGGAAAUCAUGGCACUCUUAGAAGCUUUGCACAAACCAGCCAAAGUUGAAAGCUCUCCAGGCAGUCCAAAGAGAAGUGUGGACCCAACUGAAAGCAGUCUAUGAGCCCGGCACUCCAGAAGCAGCCCACCCAUUCCAAGUUGGAGACUUUGUGUUUGUAAGGCGGCACCAAACACAGACCCUUGAGCCACGGAGGAAAGGACCCUACUUAGUGUUGCUGACUACCCCAACAGCAGUCAAAGUCGACGGGAUUGCUGCCUGGAUUCACGCAUCUCAUGUGAAACCCGUUAUCUCAGCCGAGACGGCCGAUGACCAUCUCACAUGGAGAGCCCAGUCUACUGAGAAUCCUCUCUGGCUUAAAAUCACCAUAAGACCCCUAAAGUGACCAGGUGCAUGUCUGGAGACACCAGCGCCGUUAAGCUGACCCACGCACCAUUCCCAAAAACUCUAUUCCAAGAUGACCACGUCAGCUGGACAAAGACAAUUCACAAAAGCUAAGACUGCGCCGCUCAUAUUAUAUAUAUUGUGCCUUCCCCCUAUUGCACUCAGCGACCCUAACCCCCAUGUCCCCUAUCAGCUCACCUGGGAAAUAGAGAACUGGGAAACUCAUGAAAUAUACAACCGCACUUCCCACACGACUCCCUUAGGCACGUGGUUCCCUAACCUGUACUUUAACCUAGAUAGAGUAGCGGACUUAGAAAAGAGAGGCGGAAAAGGCAAGAGUCAGCAUUCAGGCCUCCCUCUUCCCUGCGCCCCUCAGUUCUGUCCUGUUGGAAUGGGAGGAGGAGACUGGCGAGAAAAGCAGCGCAGAGUCUCUGUGAGUCGAAAUGGGUUUUAUGCGUGCCCAGGGUUUCGAACAGGGCCAGCGAAGCAGCAGUGUGGAGGGGCUGAGGCCCGAUACUGUGCACGCUGGAGUUGUGUUACCACCAAUGACGGGGAGUGGAAGUGGCAAGUAACUCCCCAGCUCAUCACUCUCUCAUUUGUUAAACCGUGCACCCGAACUAGGUACAGCCCAGACUGUAAUCUGCUCAGGCUUCAGUUCACAGAACAAGGAAAAAAA